GAUGAACGCUGGCGGCGUGCCUAAUACAUGCAAGUCGAGCGAACAGAUGAGGAGCUUGCUCCUCUGACGUUAGCGGCGGCCGGGUGAGUAACACGUGGAUAACCUACUUAUAAGACUUGGAUAACUUCGGGAAACCGGAGUUAAUACCGGAUAAUAUAUUGAACCGCAUGGUUCAAUAGUGAAAGACGGUUUUGCUGUCACUUAUAGAUGGAUCCGCGCCGCAUUAGCUAGUUGGUAAGGUAACGGCUUACCAAGGCAACGAUGCGUAGCCGACCUGAGAGGGUGAUCGGCCACACUGGAAGUGAGACACGGUCCAGACUCCUACGAGAGGCAGCAGUAGGGAAUCAUCCGCAAUGGGCGAAGGACUGACGGAGCAGCGCCGCGUGGUGGAUGAAGGUCUUCGGAUCGUAGAACUCUGUUAUUGGGAGAGAACAAAUGUGUAAGUAACUGUGCACGUCUUGACGGUACCUAAUCAGAAAGCCACGGCUAACUACGUG
rnacentral:rRNA from 1 species